rnacentral:ncRNA from 1 species
GCCUUCGUUUAGGUUUCUAUAAAUAAAGUUUUAUCUUGGCAGAUGUACUUUCUGUAAGAUUGGUUUACAUGUAAAUGACUGGCCUAAAAGGUAGAGAUUAAUUCGCAGUAUUUGAUAUUAGUAGUCAGGGAGUUCUGGAACUGGUAAAUUUAAAUAGGCUUGGUGGAGUUUGUGCCAGCCACCGCGGUUAGACAAACAAGGCAGGAGAGUAUUAUUGGGAGAAGUUACCUGGGAGAAAGUAUUUAAAGUCUUUAUUUUUAGGUGAAAUUUUAAUGGAGUCUUAAGACUUACCAAGGCAGGAGAAUCUAAAAAGGCUGGGUAGGUAACUAGGAUUAGAGACCCUACUAUCCCAGAGGUCAAGAAGAGCCCAGAGUAGUAAAAGUUAUAGGCUCAAAACUCAAAGAUUUGGCGGUGAUUUAACUGAUCAGAGGAGUUUGUCCCAUAAUCGAUAACCCACGUUUAUGUUACUUGGGCUGGAUACCAGCUUGUAUACCGCCGUCAUCAGGGGAUUUUAAGAAAACAUCUCCAAGAUAUAGAGAAUUGUAUGUCAGGUCAAGGUGCAGUCUAUGCCUAAGGGGAGAUGAACUACAAUAAGCUAAUUUAUACGGAACGAGAAUGAAAAGGUAAGGGAAGGUGGAUUUGGGUGUAAUAAAGGUAAAAUAGCCUUUAUGAUAAAAGCGCUAAAUCGUGCACACAUCGCCCGUCGCUCUCGUAGAUAGAUGAGAUAAGUCGUAACAUAGUAGAUGUACCGGAAGGUGUAUCUAGUUUG